UGGUAGCUGGUCUCUUCUCUGUGA
rnacentral:piRNA from 1 species